GAUGAACGCUGGCGGCGUGCCUAAUACAUGCAAGUCGAGCGAGGUAGCUUGCUACCUAGCGGCGAACGGGUGAGUAACACGUAGGUAACCUGCCUUUAAGACUGGGAUACCCAGACGAAAGUUUGGCUAAUACCGGAUAACAACGGGGACGGCAUCGCCCCCGCUUGAAAGCCGCGCUUGCGGCGCUUUUAGAUGGACCUGCGGCACAUUAGCUAGUUGGCGGGGCAACGGCCCACCAAGGCGAGGAUGUGUAGCCGACCUGAGAGGGUGACCGGCCACAAUGGGACUGAGACACGGCCCAUACUCC
rnacentral:rRNA from 1 species